rnacentral:rRNA from 1 species
CCUUUGGUAUUCCAGAGGGCAUGCCUGUUUGAGUAUCAUGAACACCUCAACUCCUCACGGUCCGCCGUGAUGAGCUUGGACUUUGGGGGUCUUGCUGGCCUGCGGUCGGCUCCUCUCAAAUGAAUCAGCUUGCCAGUGUUUGGUGGCAUCACGGGUGUGAUAACUAUCUACGCUUGUGGUUUUCCACCAGGUAACCUUCAGCAAUGGAGGUUCGCUGGGGCUCACAAAUGUCCCUCCUCGGUGAGGACAGCUUCUUGAAUGUUUGAUCUCAAAUCAGGUAGGGCUACCCGCUGAACUUAAGCAUAUCAAUAAGCGGAGG